AACCCAAACAUAAACAUAGCAGUUUCUCUGAAACUAUGUUUAUAGAAAAAAGGGUUAACCCUAGCUGGACCUGGCACCCAAACCACUUCAUUAAGCUGAAGUGGUCUGGGUGCCUAUAGUGGUCCUUUAAUGCACAGAUGCAUUUAAAUACACCGACACAUACACACAAAUUUAUAUAGACACCAACACAUAUAGAUACACAUAUAGAUACACAUACACACAUGCACCCUGACACACACACACAAACAUUGAUACAUGCCCAUACCAUGACACAGAUAUACACACACACUGACAUAAAAAACCACACACAGAUGUGUGCGCACACACACAGACACAGAAGCACACUGACAUAUAUCUACACACUCACACACAGGUGAUAUUUUUUAUAUCUUUAGCCACCCAUUUGUCAGCUUACCUUGUGUGUCCAGGAGGGUGGCGUGAAGGGGUCUGGAACUCUUCCUGCUCCUCUCCCCUCAUGCUGCGGCUGCCUCCCCUCCCUCGCUGUCUCCCUGCAGGAUGCUGGGAGGAAGUGA